UCUUAAAAGCUUAAUAGCAAUUCAUUUACACUGAAAAGAUUAAUUUAAACU
rnacentral:tRNA from 1 species